GUCAGCUUGGCCGAGCGGUUAAGGCGGUAGGCUAGAAAUCUAUUGGGCUAUGCCUUCGCAGAUUCGAAUCCUGUAGCUGACU
rnacentral:tRNA from 1 species